AUUGAACGCUGGCGGCAGGCCUAACACAUGCAAGUCGAGCGGAGCGGCGGACGGGUGAGUAAUGCCUAGGAAUCUGCCUGGUAGUGGGGGAUAACGUCAGGAAACGGGCGCUAAUACCGCAUACUAUCAGAUGAGCCUAGGUCGGUGUAGCUAGUUGGUGGGGUAAAGGCCUAACAAGGCGAAGAUCCGUAACUGGUCUGAGAGGAUGAUCAGUCACCCUGGAACUUAGACACGGUCCAGACUCCUACGGUAGGCAGCAGCGGUGAAUAUUGGACAAUGGGCGAAAGCCUGAUCCAGCCCUUCCGCGUGUGUGAAGAAGGUCUUCGGAUUGUAAAGCACUUUAAGUGGGGAGGCGUUGCCAACAGAAUAAGCACCGGCUAACUUCGUGCCAGCAGCCGCGGUAAUUC
rnacentral:rRNA from 1 species